GGAAUAUUGCACAAUGGGCGCAAGCCUGAUGCAGCAAUGCCGCGUGUAUGAAGAAGGCCUUCGGGUUGUAAAGUACUUUCAGCGGGGAGGAAGGCGAUGCGGUUAAUAACCGCGUCGAUUGACGUUACCCGCAGAAGAAGCACCGGCUAACUCCGUGCCAGCAGCCGCGGUAAUACGGAGGGCGCAAGCGUUAAUAGGAAGUACUGGGCGCAAAGCGCACGAAGGCGGGCUGCUAAGGCAGAUGGG
rnacentral:rRNA from 1 species